AUUGAACGCUGGCGGCAUGCCUUACACAUGCAAGUCGAACGGCAGCACGGGUGCUUGCACCUGGUGGCGAGUGGCGAACGGGUGAGUAAUACAUCGGAACAUGUCCUGUAGUGGGGGAUAGCCCGGCGAAAGCCGGAUUAAUACCGCAUACGAUCUACGGAUGAAAGCGGGGGACCUUCGGGCCUCGCGCUAUAGGGUUGGCCGAUGGCUGAUUAGCUAGUUGGUGGGGUAAAGGCCUACCAAGGCGACGAUCAGUAGCUGGUCUGAGAGGACGACCAGCCACACUGGGACUGAGACACGGCCCAGACUCCUACGGGAGGCAGCAGUGGGGAAUUUUGGACAAUGGGCGAAAGCCUGAUCCAGCAAUGCCGCGUGUGUGAAGAAGGCCUUCGGGUUGUAAAGCACUUUUGUCCGGAAAGAAAUCCUUGGCUCUAAUACAGUCGGGGGAUGACGGUGCCGGAAGAAUAAGCACCGGCUAACUACGUG
rnacentral:rRNA from 1 species